UACGUAGGGGGCAAGCGUUGUCCGGAUUCAUUGGGCGUAAAGCGCGUGUAGGCGGCCAGGUAGGUCCGACGUGAAAACUGGAGGCUCAACCUCCAGCUGUCGUUGGAAACCAUCUGGCUAGAGUCCGGAAGAGGAGAGUGGAAUUCCUGGUGUAGCGGUGAAAUGCGCAGAUAUCAGGAAGAACACCAAUGGCGAAGGCAGCUCUCUGGGACGGUACUGACGCUGAGACGCGAAAGCGUGGGGAGCGAACAGG
rnacentral:rRNA from 2 species